rnacentral:rRNA from 1 species
CCUACGGGAGGCAGCAGUGAGGAAUCUUGGUCAAUGGGCGAGAGCCUGAACCAGCCAAGUCGCGUGAGGGAAGACGGUCCUAUGGAUUGUAAACCUCUUUUGUCGGGGAGCAAAAAGGCCUCGUGAGGCCACAAGUGAGAGUACCCGAAGAAAAAGCAUCGGCUAACUCCGUUCCAGCAGCCGCGGUAAUACGGAGGAUGCGAGCGUUAUCCGGAUUUAUUGGGUUUAAAGGGAGCGUAGAUGGGUUGUUAAGUCAGUUGUGAAAGUUUGGGGCUCAACCGUAAAAUUGCAAUUGAUACUGGCAGCCUUGAGUACAGGUGAGGUAGGCGGAAUUCGUGGUGUAGCGGUGAAAUGCUUAGAUAUAACGAAGAACUCCGAUUGCGAAGGCAGCUUACUAAACUGCCACUGACAUUGAUGCUCGAAAGCGUGGGUAUCAAACAGGAUUAGAUACCCCAGUAGUC